rnacentral:lncRNA from 1 species
UUGAACUUUUCGUAGUGAACAUGCAUCGGAUGCACUCGGUCAAUCAGUAGAUUUGAUAUCUUUGAACCGUCGAGCUUUAAUUUACACCUAGACAACACAUGUCACACAACCAGUCUUUUACCGUUUAUGGUUCUCACUAUGUUGUUCGUUUCAGCCAUGAAUAUGUUUCGGUCUCAUGGGAGCUUAAAGAAUAGACCUUUACUAACAUUCUCCUUGAAGCGGCGUCCACUUCACUCUCACAUAGGUUAUUUAUAAAUGUUCAAUCCUAUAGAUUAAAUUAUUUGGUCAAAUCUAUCAAAUUUAGAUAAUCAUUAAAAGACUUCACACCAUAAGUCUUAUCCUUGUUUAUUAAACAUUGUAUACAUCAUAAGAAUGGGUUGGGUGUAUUGACAAUGUUGAACCUGUCAGACGCAACUUUGUUUGAUCUCCUUGAACCUAGCUCUUAGGAUCUCCAGUCUGCUAGGUAGAGUUACUGGUAUGCUGACUUGUCCUAGGUCGUAAACCCAUUACCUUGGAUGUUCUCUUAAAUCCUUCUCUAGAUAGGCCUUUUGUAAGUGGAUUCGACACAUUAUCCCUUGACUUCACAUAGUCAAUAGUGAUAAUUUCACUAGAGAGAAGUUCUCUAAUGGUAUUAUGUCUUUAUCUUAUGUGAUGAGAUUUAUCAUUAUACAUCAUGCUCCCUGCCCUACCUAUCGCAUCUUGACUAUCACAGUGUAUACUUACUGGUGCCAAUGGUUUGGCCCAAUAAGGAAUAUCUUCCAAGAAAUUCCGAAGCAUUUCUGCUUCUUCAUUGGCUUUAUCCAAUGCGAUAAACUCAGAUUCUAUUGUGGAGCAAGAAAUACAUAUCUGUUUAGAUGAUUUUCAAGAGACUGCUCCUCCACCUAUAGUAAAUACAUAUCCACUCGUGGAUUUUACUUCAUUAGAUCCGAUGAUUCAAUUUGCAUAACUAUAUCCUUCAAGUACCAUGGAUAUUUAUUAUAAUGCAAAACAUAGUCUUGAGUGUAUUUAAGAUACCGACUCAACUUACUAAUAGCAUAUGCUAUGUCUGGUUAUGUACAAUUCAUUAUAUACAUUAAACAUCCCAACACUCUUGCGUACUCCAAUUGUGAGUCACUUUCACCUUCAUUCUUUUGAAGUGCAAAACUCAUAUCCAAUGGAGUCUUGGCAAUACCAAAUUUCAAAUCCUUGAAUUUGCCAAAUACCUUUUCAAUGUAAUGAGACUAUGACAAUGCCAACCCUUGUGGAGUUUUAUGGAUUCUUAUUCCUGAUCACAUCCACAACUCUAAGGUCUUUCAUAUCAAACUUGCUCUCAAGCAUUUGUUUCGUAGCAUUUCUGUCAGAAAUGUCUCUACUGAUGAUCAACAUAUCAUCCAUGUACACACCAAAUAAUGACCUGGUGAUUUAGAGUGUCUUUAAUGUAAACACAUUUAUCACAUUUAUUUAUCUUGAACCUGUUUGCCAACAUGGUUUGGUUAAACUUCGCAUGCCACUGAUUAUAUGCUUGUUUUAGUCCAUAAAAUGACUUAACAAGUUUACACACCUUAUUUUCUUUUCUUGGAACCAUAAAACCCUCAGGUUGUUCCAUGUAAAUUUCUUCCUCUAAUUCUCCAUUUAGGAAUGCUAUUUUCAUAUCCAUUUUAUAGAUUUCAAGACCAUGUACUGUCGCCAAGGCAAUUAACAUCCGAAUUAACGUUAUCCUCAUUACAGGAAAGUAUGUAUUAAAGUAAUCAAGACCUUUCUUUUUUUUAAAGCCUUUUACUAUAAGUCUUGACUUGUAUUUGUCAAUAGUACCAUCCACUUUCAUUUUUCUUUUGAAGAUUCAUUUAGAACCUAAAGGUUUAUUUCCUGGAGAAAGAUCAACCAACUCCCACGUAUGGUUGCUUAAGAUUGAAUCAAUCUCACUAUUGACUGCCUCUUUUCAAAAAAAUGAGUCUGAAGACAUCAUCGCUUCUUUCAAUAUUUAAGGCUUAUUUUCUAAGAGAAUUAUUAUAAAAUCUGAUCCAAAGUAAGUUGACAUUAUUUGACGUGUACUACAUCUUGGAUUUUCAUCAUUAUGUACAUCCUCACUUGGUUCAUCUCGAGGUCAUUUAGACCCCCAAUAGAUUGUCCAUGUCUAGUUUUAUACGGAUAAAUGUGUUCAAAGAAUUCAGUAUUAUCAUAUUCAAUUACCGUAUUUUCAUUGAUAUCCAAUGUUUGAAUUUAUGAACUAAAAAUUGACAUACUUUACUACUUUUAGCAUAUCCUACGAACACGCAGUCUACCGUCUUAGGUCUUAUCUUUAUUCGUUUAGGUAUAGGAACUUGGACCUUCACUACACACCCCCAUACUUUGAAAUAUUUCAAGUUGGGUUUUCUUCCUUUUUCAUUUUUCAUAUGUAAUUGAUUGUGUCUUACUAUGGGGCAUUGUAUUGAGUAUUCAGUUAGUUGUAAGGAUAGUUUUCCUUCCCCCCACAAGUUUUGUGGUAAACCUAAACUUAUUAGUGAGACAUUCAUUAUUUGUCCAUUAUUAGUAUUUGAGGUGAAUACAGAACCGUAGUUUGAUGGAUAAUUCCAUUCUCUACACAUAUUUCCGCAAAGGGAGAUUCAUAUUCUCCGCCCCUAUCACUUCUUAUCAUUUUGAUCUUUUUCUCUAACUGAUUUUCAACUUCUGUUUUAUAUUGCCUAAACACAUCUAUUGCUUCAUCCUUACUAUUUAGCAAAUAGACAUAACAGUAUCUAGUGCAAUCGUCAAUAAAAGUUAUGAAAUACUUUUUUCCAACACGAGAUGGUAUUGACUUCACAUCACAAAUGUCAAUGUGGGUAAAGUCUAAGGGAUUGGAAUUCCAUUCAACGGAUUUAUACGGAUGCUUAGCAUACUUUGAUUCCAUACACAUUUGACAUUUUGAUUUAUUAAACUCAAAGUUUGGCAAAACUUCUAAGUUAAUAAGUUUUUGCAAUGUUUUGUAAUUGGCAUGUCCUAAUCGUUCAUGCCACAAAUCAUUAGAUUUAAGCAAGUAAGAAGAAACUAAACUUUCAUUGAUUUCAAUAUUCAUUACAUUCAUUUUGAAUAGGCCCUCAGUGAGGUAGCCUUUUCUUACGUACACUUCUCUUUUAUUAAGUACAAUUUUUUCAAAAAUAAAUGCACAUUUGAAUUCGUUUUUAUCAUAAAGUGAUAUAGAAAUUAAGUUAUUUCGUAACUUCGGUACAUAUAGGACAUUGUUCAAAGUCAACACUUUUCCUGAACUUAUUUUCAAACAUACUUUUCCUGUUUCUUCAACUUUUGCAGUUGCAGAGUUUGCCAUGUAAAUCUUCUUUUUGCCUUGAGCCGGAGUGAACGUAGCAAACAACUCCUUAUUUGCACAAACAUCGUGGGUGGCACCGGAAUCCAACCACCAUUGUCGAGGAUUUCCCACAAAGUUUCAUUCAAAUAGCAUAGUACACAGAUCGUCCAUUUCUUUCUUGGAUUCAGCCAUAUCUACUUGGUCCUUCUUUUUACCUUUAUUUGGGGCACGACAAUCUGUUUACUUUUGGCCAAUGUUUCCACAAUUAAAGCAUUUACCCUUGAAUUUCUUCUUAGGUUGAUUGCUUUCUUGUUCAGUUUUUUUUUCACUUUUUGAGUUGUUGUGGCCAUCUUCUACAAUAUUUGCUCCAUUCAUUGCUGAAUUUCCUCUCGACCUUCUUUCUGUAGUUUUGUUGUCUUUUUCAAUCCGCAGUCUCACUAUGAGAUCUUCAACUAUCAUUUCCUUUCGUUUAUGUUUUAAGUAGUUCUUGAAGUCCUUCCACAUAGGUGGCAACUUCUCUAUUAUUGUCGCGACUUGAAACGCCUCGUUCACGACCAAACUUACAAUAAAGUUUAUGUGAACAUUAAGAAUAUUUUUAACAUGUUUAACUAAGGUAUUUACCAAACUCAUACCCUCCGCAAGGAGAUCAUGGAUGAUAACUUGCAGUUCCUGUACUUGGGAUACAACAGACUUGCUGUCAAUUAUUUUAUACUAAAGGAAUCUUGCAAUGAAGAACUUUUUGGUUCUAGCAUCCUCAGUCUUGUAUUUUCUUUCUAGUGCACCCCACAAUUCUUUUGUCGUCUUCACUCCGCUAUACACGUUGUAUAGGUAAUCUUGGAGGACACUUAGAAUGUAAUUCCUACAUAGGAAAUUAGAGUGUUUCCAUGCCUCCAUAACGACAAAUCGUACCUGGUCAGAAGUUUUCUUAGGCAACUCUGGAGCUUCUUCAGAUGUAAAUCUUUAAAGGCAUAACGUUGUAAGGUAGAAGAACAUCUUCUAUUGCCACCUUUUAAAGUCAACACCCGUGAAUUUUUUGGGUUUCUCCGCUGGUACUAUUGCCUAUAGAGCACUCGAACAACUCAUUGUGGCAACAUUAGUUGCUGCCAUAGUCGUUGCAGCAUCAUUCACAUGACUGUCAGUAGUCAUUUUUCUGUCACAAAAAGAUAGUAAAUUUUUGUAUAUCGAAAUACUACUUAUAAAGUUGUAACAACCUUCAACACCCCUUGUUUCAAGUUUAACGAUGAGGUUUUUAUGACUUCCAAUCGUUAAUCGAAUGACCUUUAACUUUGAUGAAGUCUUUAUAUCUCUAAAUCACUUGUUAAGUUGAAACGGAGUAGAAAGAGUAAAGCUUUAAUCUUCCGAAACCAAACAAUACAUAUUCUAAAACUUAUUUCCUUAAUAUUGUUGUUUUGGGUACGUAAAUUCUGUAUUUUGGCAAAACUACUUCAAUACAAGUUCAAGAAUAAAUCAAGAACACUUAUGAAGUUUUCCAAUAGCUUCAACACAAGAUCAAAAUGAUCUUUCAAAGAAGUUUGUUUUCAGUUUUUUUUAAAAGAAAAAUAGAUGAAGUAGAAAAAGUCAAGUCCUCCAAAUUCACGGAGUGUCCUUAAGGAAUAAUUUUUCUCAAGUACCUGAGGUUGUGAAAUUUUCCUUCCAGGAUAAAAUGGCUUAACGAUCCGACAGUAGUGGUACCUCAAACGGUUAAAUUCUCUUCGAACUCACUCAACGGGAGAUGAUCACACAGAGUUUUUCAGAAGACAAGAAGUGUUUUUUAUUCAGAAAUUUUUGUUACAAAACCUGUUGAAAAAUACAAGUUUAUAUAGCCAUUAAGUGCCUCUUCCGUAAAGAGGCAAUGGUUCAUUCGAAAAGGUGUAUCCUUUGGAGCAGUCAUGUUUGUCCAUUAGAAACAUUUCGUCUGCUUAUGAACAAUCACAACCAUCUGAACAAACAUUCUUUUUCCCAAAACAGUGUGCCUUUUUACCCGAAGAGGUGUGUCUCUUCGAAGCAACAUUCAGUGUUUCUGCAUGCAGAAGCAUGCACGCAUGGGAGUAAGUGUUUCUUAAUAUAAACACUUGAAAUUUUCAUUCUCCCACCAAUGGGACAAUUAGUAGACUUUCCUAUUUUUUUUAGUACACUUUUCAUUUUGAGUGUUAUCUCAAUUUUUUCGCUCCACUUGGUUCACUCCAUAUUCCAUUCACACUUUUAAUCUUGAACUCAAUAAUUUUCUGUAAGGCAUCAUUUAUUGAGAUAUUUUUUCAUGUUUAAUUAUGAAAUGUUAUUUUAUAGAGCACACAAUAUAACAUAACAUAAAAUACAAAAUUGAUUUCAACGAAAAAAAUGAUCAUUGUAGUGAAAUAUUGUUAUAAAAAAUAAAUAUUAUAGUAAAAGUCUUAUUGUGCAAGAUACUCCUCUAGAACGUAGGGAAAAACUUUUUCAUACCUAGUGCUUACACCAAGCCAAUAUAUGCAUGUCAUGUAUUUGAAUAUAAUGUCUUAAUUAACAUAUUUAUUUUACUUUAUUAAUCACUUUUACCCAGAAUAUAUAGUUUAAAAGUUCUUCUGAUCUUUUUCAUGUCUUGAUUCGUUAGUUUUACUUAUUAGGGUCUAGUAACCUCUAAAAAAGGGUCUAAUAGGAAAACAAUUUUCAAUAGAACGCUUGCUGAUCAUGUGCAAACUAACUGCUGAGAAGAGCGGGAAAAGCACUGUAGUGUGAUUACUCUAGCAACUCACCUAUCGAUCGUUGGUGGCUGAAACCUCUAUUAAGAGUAGACAAAUCUGGACUAUCCUCUCACACUUUCAAAUAGUAGUGGAGUAAGAAUUCUCACUAAGCAUAAUACAUAAACAUGUCUUUUAAUUUGAUCUCAGCUUGCAUCUAUGACCUCCAACUUUGGAUGUGCACAAGUAGACACUUAAACUUACGUAAAGUUAAACAAGUAGACACAUACGUCCUAUUUGGCAUAAUACAGGUAGGGCAUCAUGUAGGAAAUGAAUUGACCACGUCGGAUGCCACAUAGGACGCAUGUGCCUACUUGUUCAACUUUAUAUAAGUUUAAGUAUUUAUUUGUACACAACCAAAGUUGGAGAGUAUAGAUAAAAAUUUAAUCCAAGUAAAAGGACAUAUUUAUGUGUUAUGACUUUUUACUAUUGAGGCUAAAAAUAUGAUAAGUAAACACAUGAAGAAACUGAAGGGGGAUCAAUAUCUAUUAUAUAUAUAUAUAAAAUAAUUUUUAACCUUAUAUAAACAGUAUACUUUCCCCAUUGAAAGGAGUUUGGAAUGACUUCUUGACCCUACCUAGCUCCGCCCCUGCAUCUCGAUUGAUGGCGACUGAUCACCAUAUACUCCCUACGUCCAUUUUUAUUUUUUACUUGUCACAUUUUAACUUGACACUCAUUAAGAAAAUAAUGAUUGACAUGACUAUUUUAUCACAUAUGUUAAUUGAUGUUAAAGUUGUUGGGUUCAAGUUGAAUGUGUGAAUAAAAAAUGGAGGAAAUUAGUAGAGGGAAAGUGAGAUCACAGCUAAAAGAAAAGUGUGCUCACAAUAAGGAAAGUCUAUACUAAUUCUCCCACAUUGGUGGGAGAAAGAAACUUUCAUGUAUUCUUAUUAAGAAACACAACUCCACGUGGAUAGUGACGCAAGAACCAAGAGGUACCUCACGCCAUCAUCAUCGUCGCUCGGCUCCGCUUCGGCUUUGGCUUCAGAUUUGUCAAAUGAUUAAUGAGAUUAUUUUUUUUAGGAAAAAAUUAUUUAAAACUUGGAAAAAUAAUUGGAAUUUAUUAAGCCAAAAAAUCCACAGAAAAAAUUGAAAAAUAUUUUUUCCUCCAUAAAAUGCCACGCAGAUGCAUGCAGAAACACAGAAACAUUACUUGAAAGGGACGCAACCCUUCAAGAAAAUGACACACUAUUUCGAAAAAGGGGUGAAUGUUUGAUCGGAUGUGACUGUUCAGAAAAGACAUAAUAUUUUGAAUAGACAGACAUGACAAUUCCAAAGGGAUACACCUUUCAGAUGAACCAUUGCUUCCUUUUAUAAGAGACACUUGAUGGCUAUAAAAUAUCUGCAUUUUUUUCACAAGUAGCAACAAAAACUUUUAGAAUUGAAAACACUUUUCUACUUCCAUAAACUCAUUAUGAUCAAGCUGCUGUUGAGUGUGUUCGGCGAAUUCGAUAGUUUGAGGUACCGCAACUAUCGAAUUGUGAACCAUUUUAUUCCGGGAGGAAAAAUUCCAACACCUCGGGAACUUGGGGGAAUUAAUUUCUUAACGACACUCCGUGAUGUCGGAGGACUUGGUUCUUAUUCUGUUUCAUCUUAUUUUUUUUUACAUAACAUACUUCUUUGAUAGUUCUUGUUGAACUUGUAUUGAAGGUGUUAAAAACUUCAUUGUUAUUCUUGAAAAAUUUUUGAACUUGUGUUGAUGUUUAAUAUAUAAACAUACAGAUUGUGUACCCGAAAUAACAAUCUUAAGGAAUUAAAUAUGGUAAUCUGUAUUAUUUGGUUUCUGGAAAUUAAAACUUUAUGCUUUCUACUGUGGUUAAACUUAACAAGUGAUUUAAAGAAAUAAAAAACUUCAUCACAAGUUAAAGCUCAUUCGGUUAGCGAUUGGAAGACAUAAAAAUUUCAUCAUUAAACUAGAAACAAGAAUUGUUCAAAGUUGCAAUAAACUUGUAAUUAAUAUAUUGAUGUACUAAAUUUGGCUGUAUUUUUGUGAAAGGAAAUUAUGACUACUGAUGGUCAUGUAACUGAAGAUGUGACAACUGUGGAAGCAACGAAUGUUGCAAUAAUUGAUCGUACAACUGCGCUACCCGCUAUGACACUAGCGGAAAAGCCUGAAAAAUUUUCUAGAAUAGAUUUUAAGCGAUGGCAACAGAAGAUGUUCUUCUAUCUGAAAACCUUGUGUCUUCAAAGAUUUAUAUCUGAAGAUACUCCAGAAGCUCCCGAAGAAACUUCGGACAAGGAGGGGUUCAUUGUAAUAGAGGCAUGGAAACAUUUCGAUUUCCUAUGUAGGAAUUAUAUCCUAAGUGUCCUCUAAGAUGAUUUAUAUAACGUUUACAAUGGAAUGAAUACAUCAAAGGAGUUUUGGAAUGCGCUGAAAAAGAAAUAUAAGAUUGAGAAUACUUGAACUAAGAAGUUAUUUGUUGCAAGAUUCCAUGAGUACAAAAUGAUUGACAGUAAAACUGUCAUAUCUCAAGUACAAGAACUGCAAGUCAUCAUCCAGAUAUCCUUUCUGAAGGUAUGAAUUUAGUGAUUACCUUAUUUGAGAAUGUUAAAAAUAUUCUUAAUGAUCACAUGAACUUUAUUGUAGGUUUGGUUGUGAAUGAGGCAUUUCAAGUUGCUACAAUAAUAAAGAAGUUUCCACCUUUAUGGAAGGACUUCAAGAAUUACUUAAAACACAAGCAAAAGGAAAUGACAGUCAAAGACCUCGUUGUGAGGUUGCACAUCAAGAAAGACAACAAAACCGUAGAAAGGAGGUCAAAAGAAAAUUCUGUAAUUAGUGGAGCUAACAUUGUAGAAGACGAUUCCAAUGACUCAAAGAAGCGGAAGAAAACUGACAAGAAAGCAAUCAACCAAAGAAGAAAUUCAAGGGAAAAUGCUUUAAUUGUUGAAAGAUUGGCCUCAAGUCAAUAGAUUGUCAUGCCCCAAAGAAAGGCAAAAAGAAGGAUCAAUCCAAUAUGGCUGAAUCCAAGAAUGAAAUAGGCGAUCUAUGUGCCAUGAUUUCUAAAUGUAACUUGGUAGGAAAUCCAAGAGAAUGAUGGAUGGAUUUCGGUGCCACCUGCCAUCUUUGUGCCAAUAAAGAGUUGUUUGAUGUGUUUUCUCCAGCUCAAGGCAAAGAGAAGAUUUAUAUGGCAAACUCCACAACUACAAAAUUUAAAGGGACAGGAAAAGUCUACUUAAAAAUGACGUCAAGUAAAGUUUUAACUCUCAACAAUGUCCUUUAUGUACCAAAGUUAAGAAAGAACUUAAUUUCAGUAUCACUUGUUGACAAAAAUAGAUUCAAAUAUGUAUUUAUUUCUGGAAAGAUUGUAGUUAGUAAAGGAGAAGUGUACAUAGAAAAAGCAUACCUCACUGAGGACCUUUUUAAGAUGAAUGUAAUGACAGUUGAAAUCAAUAAAAGUUUUGUUUCUUUUUACUUGCUUGAGUCUAAUGAAUUGUGGCAUGAAAGAUUAGGACAUGUCAAUUAUAAAACAUUGUAAAAACUGAUUAACUUAGAAGUUUUGCCAAAUUAUGAGUACAAUAAAUCAAAAUGUCAAACGUGUGUGGAAGAAAAGUAUGCUAAGCAUCCGUAUAAGUCUUUCGAAAGGAAUUCUAAUCCCUUAGACUUAAUCCACACUGACAUUUGUGAUAUGAAGUCAACACCAUCUCGUGGUUAAAAAAGUAUUUUAUAACUUUUAUUGACGAUUGCAUUAGGUAUUGUUAUGUCUAUUUUCUAAACAUAAGAAUGAAGCAAUAGAUGCGUUUAGAUAAUAUAAAACAAAAGUUAAAAAUUAGUUAGAGAAAAAGAUCAAAAUGAUAAAAAGUGAUAGGGGUGGAGAAUAUGAAUCUCCAUUUGCGAAAAUAUGUGUAGAAAAUGGAAUUGUCCAUCAAACUACUACCCCGUAUUCACCUCAAUCUAAUAAAAUUAUGAAAAGAAAAAAUUGAACCCUAAAGAAAAUAAUGAAUGCCUUACUAAUAAGUUUAGGUUUACCGCAAAACUUAUGGGGGAAAGCUAUCCUUACAGCUAACUGAAUACUCAAUAGAGUGCCCCAUAGUAAGACACAAUGAAAUUCAUAUGAAAAAUGAAAAGGAAGGAUACCCAACUUUAAAUAUUUUAAAGUAUGGGGGUGUCUAGCGCAAGUUCAAAUUUUUAUGCCUAAAAGGGUGAAAAUAAGACCUUAGACAGUGGACUGCAUGUUCAUAGAAUACGAUAAAAAUAGUAAAGCAUGUCGGCUUUUGGUUUACAAAUCCGAACAUCCGGAUAUCAAGGAAAAUACUAUAAUUGAAUUAGAUAAUGCUAAGUAUUUUGAACACAUUUAUCAGUAUAAAACUAGACAUGAAUAGUCUAGUGGAGGGUCUAAACAAUUUCGAGAUGAAUCAAGUGAGGAUGUACAUAAUAAUGAGAAUCCAAGACAUAGUACACCUCAAAGAACGUCAAUUUUGUUUGAAUUGGAUUUUGUAACAUUUCUCUUAGAAAAUAAGCCUCAAACAUUCAAAGAAACGAUGUCGCCUUCAGGCUCAUCCUUUUGGAAAGAGGCAGUCAAUAGUGAGAUUGACUCAAUCUUGAGCAACCAUACUUGGGAGUUGGUUAAUCUUCCUCCAGGAAAUAAACCUUUAGGUUCUAAAUGGAUCUUCCAAAGAAAAUCAAAAUGGAUGGUACUAUUGAAAAAUAAAAGGCAAGACUUAUAGUAAAAGGCUUCAAAUAGAAGGAAGGCCUUGAUUACUUUGAUACAUACUCGUCUGUAACAAGGAUAAUAUCAAUUCGGAUGUUAAUUUUCUUGACGGCGGUAUAUGGUCUUAAAAUUUAUCAAAUAGAUGUGAAAACAACAUUCCUAAAUGAAAAAUUGGAUAAAGAAAUUUACAUGAAACAACCCGAGGAUUUUGUGGUUAUUUUUAAAGAAAAGAAGGUGUGUAGACUUGUUAAGUCACUCUAUGGACUAAAACACGCACCUAAACGUUGGCAUGCGAAGUUUGACCAAACCAUGUUGGCAAACGGGUUCAAGAUAAAUGAAUGUGAUAAAUGUUUUUACAUUAAUGACACUCCAAAUCACAAGGUCAUUGUUUGUUUGUAUGUGGAUGAUAUGUUUAUCAUUAGUAUAGAUAUUUCUGACAUAAAUGCUAUGAAACAAAUGCUUAAAAGAAAGUUUGAUAUGAAAAACCUUAGAGCUGUGGAUGUGAUCUUAGGAAUAAAAAUCCAUAGAACUUCACAAGGGUUGGCGUUGUCACGGUCUCAUUACAUUGAGAAGGUACUUGAAAAAUUAAAGUAUUUGGAAUUUGGUAUUUCCAAGACUCCAUUGGACGUGAACUUUGGACUUUAAAAUAAUGAAGGUGAAAGUGACUCACAGUUAGAUUAUGUUAGAGUGUUGGGAUGUUUAAUGUAUAGCAUGAAUUGUACACGGCCUGACAUAACAUGUGUUAUUUGUAAGUUUAGUUGGUACAUGAGUAAUCCCAAUAAAACUCACUAGAUGGCAAUGAAAAGAGUUUUAAGGUAUCAUAGAUACACUCAAGAUGAUGCAUUGCAUUAUAAUAAAUAUCCUGCGGUAAUUGAAGGACAUAGUGAUGCAAAUUGAAUCAUCAGUGAUGAAAAUUGGAUCACCUAAUCAAAUAAAGUUAAAUCCACAAGAGGAUAUGUAUUUACUAUAGGUGGAGGAGUAUUCUCUUAGAAACCAUUCAAACAGACAUAUAUUGCUCGCUCUACAAUGUAAUCUGAAUUUAUCACAUUAGAUAAAGCCAGUGAAGAAGCAGCACGGCUCUAAAAUUUAUUGGAAAAUAUUCCUUAUUGGCCCAAACCAUUGGCACCAGUAUGUAUACACUAUGAUAGCCAAGCGGCGAUGUAAUACCCCAUAUAUUUCUAAGCUAGAAAAUGAAUCAUUGUUUCUACGCAUGAAACCUCCUAUACUGUGAUUCAUGUUUGAGUACAUGAAUUAGGAUAAGUAUCCUAGUGAUAAUAGAGCAUAUGAUGUGUUAAUCAUGUUCAUAAGAGUCACUUAGAUUAAGCCAAGCUAAGAACUUUUGAAUCCACCAAAUUUUUGUGUAUGAUUUCACAUAGGUCAUCUUUAAACAAGAAUAACUUGGUUUAUAGGUGGUAUUUUGGUAGAUUCAUACCUCUAAAUUGUAGAGAAUUGAAUAAGCUUUCCGUCGAUACCAAAUUCUCCUAAAAUGGACACUCGGUGAAGAAUUUAUGGCGAUUUAAAGUUUCAGCAAUGUUAUUUCAGUUAGUGGCAUGUCGCGCCAUAAGCCAAAAUGAUGUUUGUCAAUUUCCAGUGUUUCUCCCCGAUUCCACCGCGUUGUAGUGAGUUUUUAGGUCAUAAACAAGUGGCAACACAAUGUCUCCGCGUUGCGCCAGGGGCCCAAAUUGGGAAAUUUUUACAGAAAUUAAAAGACCCAUCUAGAGAGGUAUUUGGGUCAUCUUCCCACCCCUAUAUAAUCUCCCAAACACGGAAUUAAGCCAUUAUUUCACCAAAACAUACUCUUUUUCAUCAAAAUCCUAUCAAGAACACAUUAGUGUUUCAAUUGGGGGAUUUAAGUUCAAGAAAAUUCUACCACCAAAUUCCAAGAAUCUCUCCGUCAAUCUUUACUAAAUCAAGAACUAAGGUAUGCGUGUGUUCAUUCAUGGACUCCUUUCAUCCAUGAAGUCCAAGAACCCUAUUUUAAACUAUAUGCCAUGCUUAUUAUGUUUUGAUUUGAUUGUUGAUCUUGUUUAUGUGUUGAAUAAUGUGAAGAUAGAAUCUUUAUGAGUUUGUAUGAAACUAGGAUGGCAUGUUAGUUGAAAUAUAUGAACUUUGGGUGAUAUGGGUUGUUGAAUUCAUCAAUAAACCUAUGCCCAAAGUGGUGCAUGUAAGGUGUUUGAUAAAAUGCAUAGGAUGAUAGAAUUUAUGUCCCAUGUUUCAAUAGUGCUUAAAUGAUAAGUCCACGUUCUAUGCUUUAUGAUUUCACAUGAAUUUCACAUUAUUGUUAUGUGUUUUUGUUGUGAUAUGGAAUGAGCAUGAUAUUGAAGCUAUGCAAGUAUAUACAUAUUGUAUGCAUUCCAUUCCAUAUAUAAGAAGUUGAGCAUCAUGUAUAGUAUGAAAUCCCUUAUGAUAUUGUGAAUUUUAGACUCUACUCUUAUGAUCAAGUCAGUCAUGUGUGUUAGUUUUCUUCCAUCGAGUCCUAGGGGUACUUGUACCUGAAAAAUAUAGUUGUGUGUCUAGAGCCAUGUCAUGAUUUCAUGAUACUCUCAGUCAAUCCAUGUUCCAUAGAACUCAGUCAGUCAUGUGACUCAGGAAAAUUCAGUAACUCAGUUAAUCUCAGCUAAUCUCAGUAAUCUCAGUACUCAGUGAUAUCAGAAACUUCAGAAAUUUUAGUGUUCUCCGUAACUUCAGUAAUCUCCGUAAUUCAGUACUCUUAGAAAUUUCAAGAACUCAAUACUCAGUAAGAUUAGUGCUCUCAUAAACUCAGUUUAACUCUGCUAAACAAUCUCACUAAUAGCAAUUCAGUUAAUCAGUUCAGUUCAGCAAAUCAGUUCAAUGUCUUUCAGUUGGGAGUAGGAUUCAGUACCAAGUAAACCCAAGGAUGGGGACUCACCUGUCACAGUCAGAGGGUGUGAUUCCUAGAAACAAUCCUUGCAAUCCAGAACUACGUAGCUAGCGUAGGUUGAGAUGUCCCUACCCAUAGGGCUAAUGCAUCUCCUUUCAGUUUACCUAAUAGCAGGGCAGACAGAAUGAGCUCCAAAAUAGAAUAGGGUUUACUCAUAUAUUGUCUCUACCCGUGGCAUGGUAUUGACACCCUUCCAGUUGGGGUCACAGUUUUGACCCCAACCAGUUCAGUUCCGGGGCAUAUCGGUUAGAUGAUUACCUCUCACAGUCUCAGUUUCAGUAAUAGACUCAGAUAGUUCUUCAGAACAUCAAGGCUGUCAGAUACAGUUAACUUAGAUACAAUAUGGAACUCAGCUAGUUCCACCAUAUUCAGGACUGUAAUAUAUAGUCACUCAUGUUAUCAUUAUUACCAAUUCUCUAAACUCAUAUUACCAGUAUCUAUCUUCAUGACUGUCAGAUACGGUCAAGCAUAUCAGUUUCUCAUAUUCAUGGCUGCUAGAUACAGUCAAUCAGAUUAAUACUUUAUAAUUAGACUGUCAGAUACAGUUGACCAGAACAGUCCUUCAUAAUCAGGACUGUCAUACCCAGUUAUUUAUGUAUCAGUAACAUAGCACUAGUCCCUUAGUAUUUACAGUGUUAGUUCCUUACUUAUUAGUGCUUGUCAGUAAAGUCAUGAUGUCAGUAUUCAGAUUCAGUAGUCAGUAUCAUCAUGAGUUUAAUUAUAGUUUCUCAUGUAUAUAUGUAUUCUCACGUUCAUAUCAGUCAGCAUUGUUCAUGCAUAUAGCCCUUUGCAUUGAGCCUACCUCACUCGUAUACUCAGUAUAUUUAGUCGUACUGACGCAUUUGUGCUAUGGUGCUUCCUCUUAUGUUACACCAUAGGUUUAGAGGCAUGAGCUCCAAAUUAGCAAUAGAUUCCAGUAUCAGCUGUCAAAGUUAGAAGUAAGUCCUCAUAUUUCGAGGACACGAUGAUUUCAUUGCUAUUGCAGUUUUCAGUUUAUUUCAGUAGUUGGAGUUAGUUGGGGACAUGUUCCAUCAAAUCCUUAUUCAGACAGUUAGAGGCUUUCCAGACUAUAGUAUAUCAGACAGUUAUUUCAGAUUUAGUUUGGUAUUGUUAUACCAUUUUCAAAUAUUGUUCUUAUCAGAUGUUUAUUCAGUUGAACCUUAUGGCCAUUCAGUACAUGUUUCCGUAUUUUUAUAAUAUAUUAUGCAAUAUACAGGUACAGAUAUUAGUCAUGAUUUAGCUUGUGGUCCUUCGGGGUCAUAAGCACCGUGUAGCAUUCUGGUUCAGAAAAUUGGGGUGUUACAGGAGAUCGAUAGGGCAGGGAGCAUGGUGUAUAUCGGUAAAUCUCAUCAUAUAAGAUGGAGACAUAAUACCAUUAGAGAACUACUCUUUAAUGGAAUUAUCAUUGUUGACUAUGUAAAGUCAAAGGAUAAUAUGUCGGAUCCACUUACAAAUGGCCUAUCUAGAGAGAGAGUUAAGAGAACUUCAAAGGGAAUGGAUUACGGCCUAGGACAAGUCAGCAUGGCGGUAACUCUACCUAGAAAACUGGAGAUCCCAAGAGCUAGUUUCAAGGAACCUAAGGAUAUACUCAAUCCAUUCUCAUGAUGUAGAUAAUGUUUAGUAAAAAAGGAUAAGGAUUAUGGGGUGAAGCCUUUCAAUGAUUAUCUAAAUUUGGCAGAUCUGGCCAAAUAGUUUAAUCUAUAGGCCACGUUUAGAAAUCACCUAUGUGAGGGUAAAGUGGAAGUCGCUACAAGAAGAAUGUUAGUAAAGGCCUAUUCUCUACGCUCUCAUGAAAUGGCGUGUUCAUGGAUGAAACGAACAAAACUGUCAGAACCAUAAACGAUAAAAGGCUAAUUGUGUGACAUGUGUUAUCUAGGUGUACAUUAAAGCUCGACGGUUCAAAGAAAUCAAAUCUAUCGAUUGAUCGAGUGCAUCCGAUGCAUGUUCACUAUGGAAAGUUCAAAGGAAAACCUACUUAUCCAGAUGCAAUCAAUCUUUGCUUGCUGAUCACAUACUUUUCAUUCCCCAUUCAUGUAGGGGAUUGUUGGGUUCAAGUUGAAUGUGUUAAUGUAAAAUAGAGGGAAUUAGUGGAGGAAAAGUGUGAUCACACCUAAAAGAAAAAUGUGUUCGUAAUAAGGAAAUUCUACUAAUUCUCCCACAUUGGUGCGAGGAAGAAACUUUCAUGUGUUCUUAUUAAGAAACACAACUCCACAUGGAUAGUGAGACAUGAAACAAAAGGUGCCUCUCGUCUUCGUCGUUGCUCGCUCGGCUUCGGAUUUGGAUUUGGAUUGAAUUUGGAUUUGGAUUUGGAAAUUGAUCGAUUGAUGUAGAAACAUUACUCGGAAUGGAUGCAACCCUUCGAGGAAAUGACACAUUGUUUCGAAAAGGGGUGACUGUUCGAUCAGAUGUGACUGUUAAGAAAAAACACAAUGUUUCGAAUGGACAUACAUGACUGUUCCAAAGGAAUAAGCAAUUAAUACUAAAGAUAAAAGAUGAAAAAAAUAAUAAGUAAAUCUUGAGUUGGGGAUAAGUAAUUAAUACUAAAGAUAAGAUAAAAGAUGAAAAAAAUAAUAAGUAAAUCUUGAGUUGGGGAUAAGUAAUUAAUACUAAAGAUAAAACACGGAAAAAUUUGUUAAUAAUAACAAGUACGAAUAAAAAUUAAUUUUCAAAAUAAGUAACAAAGUAAAAAAAACAGAUACCAAAUAACUGUAUUUAAAAGAAAGUAAUGGGGCUAACAUGUUUUCAUCUAUUCAUAAUCAAAUUCAGAAUUUCGAGGUCUUUUACAAUUACGUGGGAAUUUUUCGGGAAGUUCAACUUAAAUUACAUGUUUUCAAAAGUCUGGCCAAUGAAUAAUUUAUAAGUUCCUUUCAUCUUUAUUAAUGGAGAUUAUAAAAAUGGCUAAUAAACCAAUUAACUAGUUUACACUUUUUAGUAUUUGAAGGACACCUUUGGAAUAGUUGAUAAAGUUGUUGCGUCAUGUGAUUAGAAAUUUUAGAAAUAACCUUUUAUAGAAAUGCAAAAUAUAAAAUUGUGUACCAUAAAUUCUUGUGAUCACGAUCUUCCUGAAACCCAACACAUAGAAGUUUAGUACAUCAAACUGCCCUUUUACCUUUUUUAGCAUCCAAUGAUAUGUACUAUUAACGUCAAAUACUUGCAUACAGACGGAAAUUUUAACAAUUAGGUUAGUUUCCUCACUGAAUUUCGUCUGUUCCUCAACAGGGAAUAUACCUAAGGAUGGGAAUAGAGUAGUAAGGGUGCAGGCUGGCAUAAGGGUUUAGACAUAAGCAGGUGCGGUGUGGACAUGUCAAAAUAAGAAAAUGUAACGGUCCGUACCGUCGAUACUAGAGGCAUCUCGUUUAAUGGCACGUUGUAUGGAUUUUUUUAUAAUGUAUCUUCGAAUUAGUUUCAUAAAAGACUUGGUUGAAAAUUUUUGAAAUUUGAAUUUUGGAGCCGGUUGAUGUCAUUCCACUAUAGCAAAAAUUUUUCUGUUAUAGCGGCACCGUGCUAGCAGCCUACGAUUGCUAUAGCGGGACACCAAGGAACAUAAUCAGUCAGUUUCUUUAUUUUUUUCUUUUCCUUUUCAGCUGCAAAUAGAACAAGGUUUCCUUUUAAAAACCCCUUAGGGUUACCUGAUAGCCUAAGAACAAUGGAGAAUAAGGGAUAUGCAUGAACGAGACAAAAUAUGUUAUUUUUUUUAUGUAAUCUAAUUUUGGUCAGCCGAUAAUACUUAUAGUACGUGUUGUUUGUACUGAUGCUACUCUUGCUAUACCCUUUUAGGGUAUAGUCUAUUUGCAGGAUCAGUUAAGGUUUCUUAUUUGUUGCGGUAGAGGUGUCUGCAACUUUGUCUCUUGGCUCUUACAGUGAAUGCUGAGUUAUUUAUGUUUUGAAUUGUUCUGUAGUAUCUCUUGUACCUUUCUAGACUAGGUCUUUGGAAAAGGUGUUUAUUUUCCUUGUAAUUUUGAGAAAUAAUAUUUGUUAGAUUUUGAGAUCUUUAAUAAAAUUAUUCAUAACUUCAUCAAUUAUUUUAAAUGAAUGGUAAAUAGAUAAGAAUAGAAGCCUGAACAGUUUAAUUAGUUGGAUCAUGACAGUUGGCAUUGGAGUAUAGGUUAUCUAUUUUUCAAUAUAAGAGCAAAUAUCGAGUAGAGUCCUACAGAUUGAUAUGUUGACGUCCACGUCAAAUCUUCAGAAAGCUAUGAGGCAUCUAGGAAACUAUUUUGCUUCUUUCUUCCACUUGUGCAAUCCAUAUGAUUAUUUGUAUAGGUUGAUUCCAGUUGAUAUAUCUCGAUUUCAAUUGCUAUCUCAAAUAAAAUAAAUUAAUGUCACGUGACUCCAUUUGGAAUGACACAAGCAACAAAACUGGAAUAAAAAAGGUUUCAAAUGGUAUUUGGACAUAAAGGUUGUGUGUAACUUCUGAAUGAUCAAUUAGUAGUAGUCAAGGAUGUAAUAAGGGACGUGAGUUGACAAUUAUGUCAAUCGCAACGGCUUGAAUGACUACGGAUUUGUUAUUAGUGAAGUAGUCGUAAGUAUUUAUGUGGUGUUGACGAAUUGCGUGUUGUGUGGUUUGAGUGGGAAAUUGGUUGCUGAGUGCUAAUCAUGGCAUUGAUGCAUAUUAAAGUGGUAGAGGAAAUGGUUAAUGGUUGUGUAGUUUCUUGCUUCAAAUGGUCGAUACAUAGAAAGCAAUGACAAUUAUUGAAUAGUAGUGGAGGUGGUUGUGAAAAUUAAUUGUAAUAAAAAAUCAUGGUAUAAAAAGUGGUGCUUCGCUUAAUUAAUUGUUUCUUUUGAUUUGAUGGGUUCGAUCUUGGGAUGGUUAUUUAAUUAUUAUGCGAUUUCAAAUUUAAUCAUUAUGCGAUUUGAAAUUUAAGUGUUGUGGAAGAGAAUAAGGGUGAUAGGAUUUGCAAAAAAAACUGGAAAAUAUUUUAGGCUACUGCUGUUGUGGUGCUAUAGAGGGUACUAUCUUGCUACUGUAGGCCCUUAUAUAUCGGGAAUACUCCUAUUAUAGUGUUGUCAUAGUAGUAGCAUGCGGGAUGCUUUAGCGGGAUGGACUGGGAUAGAAUCCUUGCCCCGUUUCCUCUAUUUAGUAUUUCAUUCCCAACCUACUCAAGACGUUAUUUAAAGCUACAAUCUACAAUAUGAUCAAUGAAAAUUGCAUAGUAUAAGAUAAAUAUCAUGCAUUCACCACUAGUUCAAUAAAAAUAAGCAUCGAUGUACAAAAUAAAAUAAAGAAAAGAAGGAAAAAUAUUGUUUGUAUGGGAGGUAGGCUGACAUACACUAGAGGACCUAGAUGGAUGCCCCCUCAUCUUCAUGGGUUGUGGGAUCGGAACAUUCUCCUGACAAAUCACUCAUGAAGGAUAACUCUUGCACGUCCUCUAGCUCCAGCGGGAGAAGCUCGUGGGACAUCACACUUGAUCAUGAUCUUGAUGAUCUUCCAUAUUUAGACAAACAUGUAAUUUUGAGUGUGACUCUUUCUCUUCUUGUGAUCUACCUUCCUGCGGAGUUCUUCAUAGUUCUGAGUAGUGAGAGGUGGGGCUAUGGAGCUAGAAGGGGUUAUACCCUCGGAAGGAAAGUGGACUUUCUCCAUAAAUCUCCUUAUGAUACCUAGGUCAUUCUGUAGGCAUCCACGAGAAAUUGGGAGCUAGAUAGGAGGGGUAUCAUCAUCAUCCUUCUCUGAUGCACUGCUUCUAUCAACCUCACCUACCUUUCACUUUUUCUCAGUCUAGGAUGAAACAACCUUCACCUUGAGGGGAUAGAAGGUUGUGUCCAUCUUGAGGUCUCUAUCAACAUCCUUCUUAGGCAACCCUACACGUUGGCACAACUUUGAAACUAGGUCGGGAAAGUAAGUGACUUUUUUGUUUCCAUAGUAAAAGUCCUUCCACUCUAUCACAAUUUGCACUCCUACGUUUACCUCCCUCGCAUGACACAGGCCACCAUUAGAGCCCGGGGUAAGUCAUGUCAGAAGUAUUUCCCAACGGAUAAAUCCUCUGGGUCACCAGGUUCUGCCACCCCCAAGCAUUUAUUGUAAAGUGAGUUCUCCUAAUCCCCCGGUACUAGGCCAAUAAACCUUGUCCCUAUUAGCCUCUACUAUUAACGUAUCCAUUAGCUACUAUAUGUUCAUCUCCUGGGCUUUGAUCAGGUACUCAGUAUUAGAGAUAUUUGGUUCUCCGAGAACCUCAUUGAUUAUAGCAGUUUUCACGAGGACAUCCACUUCCCCAAUGCAGAUAAUAGGGUUGGGUUGGUCUUAAAGCAUAGUUAGGAGAAUGACAUAGAACUCUCUAAUUGAGCCUGGGACUUCAUGUUAUUUUUCACAAUACGGGUACGUAGAAUCUGUAUAACAGAAUAACAACUUCAACUCGUGUUCAAGUAUGAACAAGAACACAAUGAAGUUUUAAAUACACUCAACACAAGAUCAAAAAGAUCUUUCAAAGAGGUGUAUUUAUCUUUCAGAAAAUAAAGAUGAAACAGAAAUUUUUAAGGCCAAGUCAUUCGAAUUCACAGACUUUCCUUAAGGAAUAAUUCCCCUCACUAUACCCGAGGUUAUGGAAUCUUUCUCCAAGGAUAAAAUGGCCUUCAAUCCGACCAUAGCGGUACCUCAAAUAGACGGAUUCUUCGAACACACUCACGGUUUGAAUGAUGACACUUAGAGUAUUUUUAAGACAAGAAGAAUGUUUUGUAAUCUGAAAAUUUCUGUAUUUUCUAUGUCAUAAACCUGUGGAUGAAACCAGGUUUAUAUAGCCACUAGAUGCUCCUUUGGAAAGGUGGCAUUGGUUCAUAAUAGAGGUGUGUGACUCUUCCUGAAAAUACAUGUUUAUUCACUUAAAACAAUGCAGUAUUUUUCUGAAACAGUGCACUGGUUCACUGAAACAGUGCACUAGUUCACUGAAACAGUGUGUAUUUUUUUUGAAGAGUUGCAACUUUCUGAAACUGUGCAAUAUUCUGUAACUGAAGCAACAAUAUGAAAUAGUGCAACCUUCUGUAACAGAAGAAAUAAUAUGAAACAGUACAACAGUUUCAAACAGACGCAAAACACUGUUACUGCGUGUAUAUAUAUAAAUGGAGGCCAAAAUAGUGCAGAAAAAAUUUACUGCAUUUUUCCUUGGCAUUCUUCAGAAUUCAAAUAAAUUUUGUCCAAAAAGAUAGAUCUCAUCGAUUGAUCAUUUGACAAAUCCAAAUCCAAAUCCGAAGCCGAAGCCGAGCCGAGCGAGCGACGACGACGACGCGAGGCAUCAUUUAUUUCCUUCCUCACUUGCCAUGUGGAGUAAGUGUUUCUCAUUAUAAACACUCUCAAGUUCUCUUCUUCCACUAAUGUGAGAGAAAGAGUAAACUUGCCAUUUUGGGAGUACACUUUCCAUUUUUAGUGUCUCCUUUCCUCCAUCCUUUUACUCUCCAUUUUUUCAUUCACACCCUUUUAUUACUAUGAACCCAACAAUCCCCCACAUGAAUGGGUAAUACUAUUUUUCGUACAACUUUUACAGACAAGUAUGUGAUCAUCAAGAAAAGACUGAUUCCAUCUAGAUAAGUGGGUUUCCCUUUGAACUUUUUGUAGUGAACAUGCAUCGGAUACACUCAGUCAAUCGGUAGAUUUGAUAUCUUUGAACCGUUGAGCUUUAAUGUACACCUAGACAACACAUGUCACACAAUCAGCCUUUUACCAUUUAUGGUUCUUACGGUUUUGUUCUUUUCAGCCAUGAACACGUCCUGGUUUUCACGAGAGCUUAGAGAAUAGGCCUUUACUAACAUUCUCUUUGAAGC